rnacentral:rRNA from 1 species
GCAGGUUGUUUUUUUCUUUAUCUACGGCAGUAGGAAUAGGGAUUGGAGGACUGGGGUUGGUGGGGUGUGUAGCACGGUACCUAACACGGCGGCGGGGCGAGUUGCUAGUACCAGCAGCGAGGGAUGGGGUAGGCGGCAGCGACGUGGGGCGUAGUUGGGAGACGGCGGAGGUGGCGUUUGGUAGAGAGAGGAACCUGGAGAGAGAACCUGGUCAUGCCCCGCCGCCGACGAAGGUCAGCGCACCACCGCUGUACCGACCAGCUCCCUUGAGCCCACUCCGAUUGAUAGAUAGACAGGGGUGGAAUACAAGGAGAAGAAGGUAGCUUGUAGUGCAGACGCCAAUGACGGUGUGUGCCGCGAGAGGAGAGGAUGUCGCUAGGACAACAAGGGGAGGUGUGUAGCCUGGUGGUACCGCGUCUUCAUGGGCGUCUUUUAACACGAGACCAUCGUUUAAGCCCACAAGAUUCAGCCGAUGGGCCGUUCAAGUCAAGUUACAGGACGUGUCACGUGUCAUAUUACGAUGUAACCUACCGCGAUAAUUUGUGAAGCUCAAGUACACUGUCUCGUGUCCUUUUCUUGAUAGCUUCCGUCCGGGGUGGAGGCUAACUAUAAUCCUUCCACCUUCCAACUGAUCGGUAGAGAAGGAGAGGCAGCAGAGAGGUACCACACGUACAAUUCUUGAAUACGUUGUCGCCUGUAGUUAAAGUACGUCGGCUACCGUAGUUGAAAACACCUCACGAGAAGACCCUAGACCAUGUUCAGGGAGGCUGUAUUCUAUUCCAAACCCGUACGGUCUCCUGUUUCGGUUAUUAGUUAACGUUUGACUAGCAUAGCAUGCGACAAGUGAUAGUUGUACAAACCAACCCACCUUUUCAGGGAAAAGGCUAAGUCGCGAAAGCCUUCUGUCAUGUUCAGCAAACCAAGUCGGGAAGACAAAAUACAAUGCUACGAUAGUCUAUGUCGUGAAGUGAAGGCGCUUUUGCAGGCUAGUGCCGAGCUAUGUCUUAGUACAGGUGAUUCAUAAGUGAGCACCGACUCGGUUUGUUUUUUGUAUAAGACCUCCUUUAUAACCUUCGUAGCGAAGGGCUAUAACUCUUAGCUUUUGCUAUGUUUACACCUUGGUUUGCGGAGGAUAUAAAGAAGUAGUCAAGGUGACCCUUUUAUACCUUACUAAUACAUAGUUAUUUAGUACACAAUCAGGUCUGUGUUUGUAGCUACAUUUCGAGUUCCAAACAAUUCAACAAACCAACAUGCACACUGAACCAAGUAUAUGUAUAACGAUCGAUGAAAUAAAAAGCAAGUAAUUAUUAUGAUAUAAAUUCUUUUAAUG